AUCCUUUUGCAGAGGCAAUUUCAUAGUCUAUGAAGUUUACUGAGACGUGAUUAUUGCUGGUUGAAAACUUUAACCCAAUACCCGCCAAAGAUGACUUGAAAUAUAGUCAGCUUGAGGCAAUUUUUGUUAGUCUCUAAGGAGA
ensembl:snRNA U4 U4 spliceosomal RNA